CCGGAUAACAUUUUGAACUGCAUGGUUCGAAAUUGAAAGGCGGCUUCGGCUGUCACUUAUGGAUGGACCCGCGUCGCAUUAGCUAGUUGGUGAGGUAACGGCUCACCAAGGCAACGAUGCGUAGCCGACCUGAGAGGGUGAUCGGCCACACUGGGACUGAGACACGGCCCAGACUCCUACGGGAGGCAGCAGUAGGGAAUCUUCCGCAAUGGACGAAAGUCUGACGGAGCAACGCCGCGUGAGUGAUGAAGGCUUUCGGGUCGUAAAACUCUGUUGUUAGGGAAGAACAAGUGCUAGUUGAAUAAGCUGGCACCUUGACGGUACCUAACCAGAAAGCCACGGCUAACUACGUGCCAGCAGCCGCGGUAAUACGUAGGUGGCAAGCGUUAUCCGGAAUUAUUGGGCGUAAAGCGCGCGCAGGUGGUUUCUUAAGUCUGAUGUGAAAGCCCACGGCUCAACCGUGGAGGGUCAUUGGAAACUGGGAGACUUGAGUGCAGAAGAGGAAAGUGGAAUUCCAUGUGUAGCGGUGAAAUGCGUAGAGAUAUGGAGGAACACCAGUGGCGAAGGCGACUUUCUGGUCUGUAACUGACACUGAGGCGCGAAAGCGUGGGG
rnacentral:rRNA from 1 species